UUUUUUUUUUUUUUUUAAAUACUGCUCUCUGGGUCCCACCUCUUCAGAUUCUAGUUUAAUUGGUCUAGAAUGCAGCCAGAAAUUGACAUUUUUAAAAGCUCCCCAGGUGGGUCUCAUGUGCACCCAAGAACCACUGUAUCAGAACCUGGCAACUCUCCUAUUUCUUGGAGCAGAAAGUGCUGCUGCUUCUCCAGAAAGGCUAAAAGCAGGAUGUUUUUGGUAGAACACUAGUAGCACCAGAGGAUGUUAAUAGGAGUUACAUGAAAAAAAGUCUUCUAUAGUCAUAUACGUAAUAUAUUUAUUUUUAUUUUAUUUUAUCUUUUUUGAGAUAGGGUCUCAGUAUGCUGCCCAGGCUGAUCUCAAACUCCUGGGUUCAAUCAAUCCUCCCGCCUCAGCCUCCUAAGCAGCUGGGAUUAUAGCUACUACCACGCCCAGCUAGUAAUAUAUUUCAUUACAAUUAUCAACUGUUAUUGAACACUCACUGCAUUCCUGGAGCUAAGCUAUAUGUUUUAGCUACUCAUACUAUCUCAUGUAAUCUUCACAGCAAGCCUAUGAGAAAGGUACUAUUAAUCCCUAUUUUAUAGAAGGGCAGACUAAGCUCAGUGGGGUUAAGUAAUUGCCCAAUGUCCAGUAAGCAAUAGGGCUGGGAUUCAAAUCCAGAGUGGCUUUGACACUGAAACCCAUGCUCUUUUUUAUUUUUUCCUUUUUCUUCCAAGAAUUACAAGGGGUCAGGUACAGUGGUUCAUGCCUGAAUCCCACCCACACAUGCUGUUUUAUGAGUGGCAGUACCCUUCUUUCUCUCCACCUGGCAAACUCCUCUUGUUCUUUGAGAGGUAGCUCAAGUGCUAAAACGACAAUAGCUAUCACCUCUUAAAGGCUUUCCAGGCACCGUGUUCAGCACUUGCCUUGUCUCAUUUAGACAAUAUUGUCUCAAUGUCUUUUUUUUUUCUUGAGAUGGAGUUCGAGCUUGUCACCCAGGCUGGAGUGCAGUGGUGUGAUCUCAGCUCACUACAGCUUCCGGCUUCCAGGUUCAAGUGAUUUCCUUGCCUCAGCCUCCCAAGUAACUGGGAUUACAAGCACACACAACCAUGCCUGGCUAAUUUUUUUGUGUUUUUAGUAGAGACAGAGUUUCGCCAUGUUGGCCAGGCUAGUCUUGAACUCCUGACCUAAGGUGAUCCGCCCACCUCAGCCUCCUAAAGUGCUAGGAUUAUAGCCAUGAGCCACCGCACCCAGCCUCAAUGUCUUAAUAUUGCCUCUGAAUUGUUCUUUAUCUCUCCUGUGCCAAAUGGGCUUCGGUCCCCUCUCUAGUUCCAAGGCAUUUGACCGCAUCUCUUCUGUGGUGCUCAGCACUCUGGUAAUUGCUGGUUUCAGAUCUGCCUCUUGCAUUGGACUGGAUGCUCUCAGAAGACAAGGGAUAUGUAUUGUUCACCUUUACAUCCUAUCAUAGCGCCACCCAGCACAUGGUAGGUAUUCAAUAAAUGGGAGAGUGUGGACAGCAGGCUGGCCAAGAGACUGAAAAUUCACGAAGAAUUUCUGUUCUGCCAUGAGAGAGUGGUCCUUUCACUUAGAACAAGAGCUGUAAAAUCAAACUGGGCAAAACAGACCUGGCUAAUGGGCGAGGAGGGUGGGCCUUGGGACCAGAACCAGGACAUACCUCGCCUGGCCCCUGUGCUUUGCCUCCUGUGAGAGGGUGGGCUAAGAUUGUUCUGGUCUUCACAGUCUCUUUUCCACUCUGCAUGCUUUGCAAUUGGCUCUAUCUAUCCCUGCUGAGGGGAUUUGUUAUAAAACAAUGGUUAGGUUCAUUCCACAGCACUGAUUCAGUUGAUUUUCUCAACUGCUCCUUGUGUUGCGUUGCUUUUAAGAUGUCUCAAGUGAAUGAAGAGCUAUCUAGGACAGGUGGGCCCAAAGAAAAUGUAUCUAGCUAAGGAUUGGUUCCCCCCAGGUGGGUCGACUAGAUGGUCAUACCCCUUUCUAUAUGGGCCUGUUCUUUUUCAGAAGGAGGCCCCUUUACAAGAUAUAGACAGAUGUUUGAUGUUCACUCAUUGAUUGAAAACCAUUCUGUGGAUCCACUCUACCACAGGCCUGUUCAGAGCACACCUGCUUGUAACCCCUGUGGUAAACAACUUAUUUAUGCCACCCACAUCCAACCUCUAUGAGCUUCAAGGCUGCUGAUUUUUAAAGCCAGCCUCCUGUUCCCUUGCUCACACUCUAUCUGGACCAACAUACAGAUCUGCCCAGGUUUGAGUGAUCGGUAAUCAGUGCCAGCUGCAAACUCAGCUGGGUUUCCCCACAGGCUCCCUCAAACGAACCCUAUUUGUAAACAUGGAAACUACCAAAGAGACUAUUUUAAAAUUACUCACCCCUUCCUAACUUCCCACUUCUUCUGCUGCCCUAUUAAGGAUAAGCUCCAUUAUUUUUUUUUUCUUCUAAUCAAGUUGUUUUCUUUUGAGAAUUUCAAGCCUCCUCACACUGUGGGACAUAGUGCAUACGGUAUUUUGUGAAUUUAUUUGUAAUAUUCAUGAAUAUAGAGUUUAUCAAACAAAAGUUAGUUAAGCUUAUGCAUUUCUCUAGCACAAUGUGAACCAUAUGGUUUUGCUCUCAUUUUAUUUGUUCCUGUGUCUGCCAACUCCAGGAGAUGGGAUCAACCUGAGGGCAAAGGCUGGUUUCAUUUAAUUUUGUAUCCAAUUCCAAGCACAAGGCCAGGUAUAAUGUAGUUUCUGAAUAUUUGAUCGUCAUUAUGUAGGCAUAAUCCAAAAGGUCAUAAAAUCUAAAAAUUACUGCAGCACCUGCUGCAGAAACGUUCUGUUUUAUAUCUAUCAGACUGACAAAAAUGAAAGUUACUUAAUCCUCAGUGCUGGAGAAUAGAUGGGGGAAACAGUCAUACACUGUUGAGGAAACAGAAAUUGGUUCAGCCUCUUUGGAGAACAGUUUAGCAAUGUCUAUCAUAGUUGAAACUGCCAGGAUUUUUCCUUAUGAAUAAAAUCAUCAGUGUAUAGAGUAUACAAAGACAUAUACACUGGUCAGACAAGGAUGUUGCAAUAUUGUACAUUUGUAGGAGGAAAAAACUGGAAACUAUCUUAGCCAUCAUCAAGAAACUAGAAAAUAAAUGAUAGUACAUUAUCACUGGACUAUCAGAUAGCCUUAAAGAUCCAGGUAUAUCUGUGUGUUGGCAUGUGCUCAGAUAAAUUAGCUGAGAAAGAAGAUCUCGGAAGAGUUUUGUAUAGUUGUGUUAAAAAGAAAAAUGGAUAAACAUGUAAAAGAAUAUGGGUUUGUAUAUGCAUAUGAAAUUUAUGGAAAGAUACAUAAAACAUUCAUAGAUUUAUUCUGGGGAAAAGGGAUGAGUGGCUGGGAAGAUGGGGAAAAUAUACUUAUGAUACACUUAUACUUUGUGUAAUUAAAAAGCAUGAUAUACAGCAAUAGGAAAACAAAAGCUUAAGUUAUAUAUAAAAGAAAAAAAGUGAAUGACAUUUUGGUGAAAAUCUUUACUAUAUUUUUAUAAGGUAAUAGGCAAUAUUUAUAAGACAGCAUUUCCUCUCUGUCCCGUCCAUGGGAUAGCCAAUGACAGCAACAGUUCCAGAAAGAAAACCAGAGAGAGAAAAUCACCAAAAAGGGCUAAGAGCCCUAAAGAGAAUAAGUGUCAAAAUGUGUACCUUUUACUUGUUCUUGGAUGCGAGGAAAUAAAGCCAGUUCUGAUUAAGAGUCUGAACUAAGACAUUCUGAGAACUCACCAGGCUGGCACAGACUCUGGGGCCAAGAAGCAGAGACUAGGAAUGCCCAGAUAAGUAAUGGCCAUAAGUAACCUAGUGAACAAAACGAAUGACCGAGCUCCUGGGGACAUAAUGACACAGUGCUCUGCUCACCUAUUUCCCCAGCCCCUGAAUACUCCUAGGGACUAACUCAAUGAUAAUAACACCAUAAGAAUAGUUGGCAUGUAUCAGGAACCUCCUACCUGUCAAGCAGAGGCUAAAUGCCUAAUCAUAUCAAUUUAUAUUAUGUUAUUAUUAUUCCUGUUUUACACAUGGGGAAAUUGUGGCUCAGCAAAUAUAUGCAUGUAACUUACUCAAGGUUACAGUCAGUGCUGGAGGUAGGAAUCAAACCUGUACCUGACUCUAAAGCCAGCCAAGGUCAUUGCUAGCCUUCCCCGCUCUGAGGGAAGGAUAAGAAAAAAGCACUCCCUCCGAGCAGGGAGUAGGGACAGCUCCAUAAAGAGAAGACAGCAUUUUUAUGCAAAGAAAGGGCCAGAGAGUGUAGUGAUUCAAUGCAAGGACUUUGAAGCCUGAAUUCGAAUCUUGACUUUGCCAUUUACUGGCUGUGUGACCUUGAGUAAGUCAUUGAACCUGUGCUUCACUUUCCCAAGCAGCAAAAUCAGAGUAGCAAGAAAGUCAUCCCUGGCCAGACGCAGUGGCUCAUGCCUGUAAUCCCAACACCUUGGGAGGCCGAGGCGGGCGGGUCACCUGAGGUCAGGAGUUUGAGACCAGCCGGGUCAACAUGGUGAAACCCCGUCUCUACUGAAAAUACAAAAUGCAGCUGGGAGUAGUGGCGGGUGCCUGUAAUCUCAGCUUCUCGGGAGGUUGAGGCAGGAGAAUCACUUGAACCUGGGAGGUGGAGGUUGCAGUUAGCUGAGAUCGCUCUACUGCACUCCAGCCUGGACGACAGAGCAAGACUCUGUCUCAAAAUAAAUAAAAUAAUAAUAAUAACCAUAAUGUUACCCCUUACAGUUGUUAGGAGGACUGAAGGAGUUAAAUAGACAGCACCUGGCUCAUAACAAGUACCAAGUGAUCAUGAUGAGUAUUAAGAAAAAGGUGCCCUUCCCUCUAAGCAGAUGCAACCCUGCAGGGUGCAGAGUUUGGCAAGUGGAUCACAGGCUAGAUUUCAGCCUCUCCUUUAGCCGAGUGCCACUGUGCCUAUCAGCAAUACACAACUCUACAACCUUGCAUAGGUCCUGCUGAGCAAUUAACCUGCAUGUACUGGCAGUUCUUCCUCCCACCUUCCCUUCCAUCAGCCUAGCUGUGAAUCAGAAUCACCUGGCACACUUUGAAAAAAAUACAGACUUUCAGGGCCCUACCUUGGCCAAUUCUAACACAGGUGGACUGGGCUAGGGCCCAGGCAUCUGUACUUUUCACAAAUUCCAGGUGACCAGAUGACCCAGAAACAGCAUGCUCCUGGAUAUGUGUUUUUGGAAGUACUCAAAGUUCAUCAUUCUGGCCGACAUUCUGGCUGUCUGAGUUGCUUCUUGAGAUGAAGCUUCCUCUUUGUCAAGUCUGGUCCCAGGCCUGGGCACACGGGGAAGGGGCACAGUGAACAUCUGUGACUCUGCAAGUCAGCCAGCACAGCAGAUGGCU
rnacentral:lncRNA from 1 species